UGGCAGGGGAUCGGUCCUAGGAGUUCGCUCAGUCGAGCGGAAGGCCCUUCGGGGUACUCGAGCGGCGAACGGGUGAGUAACUUGUGAGUAAUCUGCCCCAGGCUCUGGGAUAGCCACCGGAAACGGUGAUUAAUACCGGAUACUACAACCGAUUGCUUGAUCUGGUUGUGGAAAGUUUUUCGGCCUGGGAUGUGCUCGCGGCCUAUCAGCUUGUUGGUGAGGUAAUGGCUCACCAAGGCUUCGACGGGUAGCCGGCCUGAGAGGGUGACCGGCCACACUGGGACUGAGACACGGCCCUACUCCUACGGGAGGUUCAGUGGGGAAUAUUGGACAAUGGGCGGAAACCUGAUCCAGCAACGCCGCGUGAGGGAUGACGGCCUUCGGGUUGUAAACCUCUUUCAGCACAGACGAACCGCAAGUGACGGUAUGUGCAGAAGAAGGACCGGCCAACUACGUGCCAGCAGCCGCGGUAAUACGUAGGGUCCGAGCGUUGUCCGGAAUUAUUGGGCGUAAAGGGCUCGUAGGCGGUCUGUCGCGUCUGGAGUGAAAACCAGGUGCUUAACACCUGGCCUGCUUUCGAUACGGGCAGACUAGAGGUACUCAGGGGAGAAUGGAAUUCCUGGUGUAGCGGUGAAAUGCGCAGAUCUCAGGAGGAACACCGGUGGCGAAGGCGGUUCUCUGGGAGUAUCCUGACGCUGAUGAGCGAAAGUGUGGGGGACGAACAGGAUUAGAUACCCUGGUAGUCCACACCGUAAACGUUGGGCGCUAGGUGUGGGGAUCCAUUCCACGGGUUCCGUGCCGCAAUCUAAUGCAUUAAGCGCCCCGCCUGGGGAGCACGGCCGCAGGGCUAAACUCGAAGGAAUUGACUGCGGGCCCGAGAAGCGGCGGAGCAUGAGGAUUAAUUCGAUGCAACGCGAACAACCUUACCUGGGUAUGACAUACCCCGGAAAGCCGUAGAGAACGGCCCCUUUUAU
rnacentral:rRNA from 1 species